AAUCAAACAUCACUAUUCAAGAAUCAGCUACGGGAAAUAGGAGGACUGGACUGGAAGGAUGAAUUUAAUUAAGAUAUAGUAAGUUAAAGUGAGACAGCAGAUGGCAGUAAUGCAACACUAUGGAUGCCAACUGCCGUAAAACUCCAAU